rnacentral:rRNA from 1 species
GACGAACGCUGGCGGCGUGCCUAAUACAUGCAAGUCGAACGCUUUUUCUUUCACCGGAGCUUGCUCCACCGAAAGAAAAAGAGUGGCGAACGGGUGAGUAACACGUGGGUAACCUGCCCAUCAGAAGGGGAUAACACUUGGAAACAGGUGCUAAUACCGUAUAACACUAUUUUCCGCAUGGAAGAAAGUUGAAAGGCGCUUUUGCGUCACUGAUGGAUGGACCCGCGGUGCAUUAGCUAGUUGGUGAGGUAACGGCUCACCAAGGCAGCGAUGCAUAGCCGACCCGAGAGGGUGAUCGGCCACACUGGGACUGAGACACGGCCCAGACUCCUACGGGAGGCAGCAGUAGGGAAUCUUCGGCAAUGGACGAAAGUCUGACCGAGCAACGCCGCGUGAGUGAAGAAGGUUUUCGGAUCGUAAAACUCUGUUGUUAGAGAAGAACAAGGAUGAGAGUAGAACGUUCAUCCCUGACGUAUUACCAGAAG